UGUCCCGUGGUGUAAUGGUAACACAACUGGUUUUGGUCCAGUCGUUUAAGGUUCGAAUCCUUACGGGACAAC
rnacentral:tRNA from 1 species